rnacentral:rRNA from 1 species
GACGAACGCUGGCGGCGUGCUUAACACAUGCAAGUCGAACGGAAAGGCCCUGCUUUUGUGGGGCGCUCGAGUGGCGAACGGGUGAGUAACACGUGAGUAACCUGCCCUUGACUUUGGGAUAACUUCAGGAAACUGGGGCUAAUACCGGAUAGGAGCUCCUGCUGCAUGGUGGGGGUUGGAAAGUUUCGGCGGUUGGGGAUGGACUCGCGGCUUAUCAGCUUGUUGGUGGGGUAGUGGCUUACCAAGGCUUUGACGGGUAGCCGGCCUGAGAGGGUGACCGGCCACGGGGGGUCUGAGCCACCGCCGAGGCGGCGAGGGGAGUGAGCAGGGCUGUGUAUCGCAGAGUGGGCGGUCGCCUGGCGCAGCACCGCGGCGGCUGGGAGGCUGGGCGCCGGGGGGAAACCCUCUGGCGCCUGUGACGAGGGCGGGGUGGCGGUAGGUGGAAACGACGCACCCGCUAACCACGCGCAAGCAGCUGCGGUAACAGACGAAGAGCCCACUCCACAAC